AACACAUGCAAGUCGAGCGCCCCGCAAGGGGAGCGGCAGACGGGUGAGUAACACGUGGGAACGUACCCCUUGGUUCGGAAUAACUCAGGGAAACUUGAGCUAAUACCGGAUACGUCGGUAACGAGAAAGAUUUAUCGCCGAGGGAUCGGCCCGCGUCCGAUUAGCUAGUUGGUGAGGUAAUGGCUCACCAAGGCGACGAUCGGUAGCUGGUCUGAGAGGAUGAUCAGCCACACUGGGACUGAGACACGGCCCAGACUCCUACGGGAGGCAGCAGUGGGGAAUAUUGGACAAUGGGCGCAAGCCUGAUCCAGCCAUGCCGCGUGAGUGAUGAAGGCCCUAGGGUUGUAAAGCUCUUUCGGCGGGGAAGAUAAUGACGGUACCCGCAGAAGAAGCCCC
rnacentral:rRNA from 1 species